GAUGAACGCUGGCGGCGUGCCUAAUACAUGCAAGUCGAGCGAACGGACGAGAAGCUUGCUUUUCUGAUGUUAGCGGCGGACGGGUGAGUAACACGUGGAUAACCUACCUAUAAGACUGGGAUAACUUCGGGAAACCGGAGCUAAUACCGGAUAAUAUUUUGAACCGCAUGGUUCAAAAGUGAAAGACGGUCUUGCUGUCACUUAUAGAUGGAUCCGCGCUGCAUUAGCUAGUUGGUAAGGUAACGGCUUACCAAGGCAACGAUGCAUAGCCGACCUGAGGGGGUGAUCGGCCACACUGGAACUGAGGCACGGUCCAGACUCCUACGGGAGGCAGCAGUAGGGAAUCUUCCGCAAUGGGCGAAAGCCUGACGGAGCAACGCCGCGUGAGUGAUGAAGGUCUUCGGAUCGUAAAACUCUGUUAUUAGGGAAGAACAUAUGUGUAAGUAACUGUGCACAUCUUGACGGUACCUAAUCAGAAAGCCACGGCUAACUACGUG
rnacentral:rRNA from 1 species